rnacentral:lncRNA from 1 species
AGCAGGUUUCGGGGGACAGAUGAGGAGCUCAGCUUCCACAUACUUAAGAUGCCUAUUAGUUACCGGCAUGUUUUUGCGUCCUAAAGUAAUGCAUCUAAGACGGCAAUUUUCUUUAAUCUAUAUAUGGAAAUAAUGAAAUACCAUACAUUUCUCCCCCCCCCACCCCCGAAAUGGAAACACAAGAUUGCCCUUUUCUGUAAAAUUCUAUGCCUGGCCAUUUCCUGUGCGGGUGCACUAGGAUUCCAUGUUUCUUAGAGGAGACGUCAGCCCGGAUCCCGUUUUAGAACCAGUAGAAUUGUGCACCGCUGAUGUUUGCUUCACUGUAUAAGGUAUUUAUUUACUUUUUUUUUAAGUUUAUUUAUUUUGAGAGAGAAGGUGUGAGCAGGGGAGGGGCAGAGAGAGAGGGAGAAAGAAAGAAUCCCCAGCAGGCUCCGAGCUGUCAUCGUGACCUGAGCCGAAAUCAAGACUCGGAUGCUUGAGGCACCCCUAAGAAACUUAUUUUUAUAGUAAGCCUGUUGGGGAAAAAAACAGGUAACUUACUCUAUUUCCAUACCUGAGUAAAAUGAUGCUAAGUACAAUUUAUCCAAUGACUGAGGUCUUGGGUCACCACUUAGAAUAAGCAGCUGCCCGCUGGGCACGCUGAGGGCCUCCUAUGUGCUGGUAGCUCUCCUCACUGUCACCGCGACAGGUAUGUGAGGUCCCUUGGGUGAGUUGGAGUUUUUGCCAUGGUGUUCGCUCAUUCUAUCCUUCCCGCUUUUUUUCCUUGUGUCCACCCCCCCCCCACACGCACAUACACACAGAUGAUAUUUUUAGCACACUUGCUUUCCAUUUCUGUUCUGACUGUUGAAAUACCUUUUUCUUUUCCUUUCUCUUCCCCUUGCCUUCCCGGCGAGUUCCAAUGAGCUGAGGUUGCCAUAUGUGAUUCUUAGAUAAGUGGGCUGUUACUAGUUUUGCAUUUUCCCUUCUGCAACUUUAACUUUUUGCCUGAGCUGCUGGGGGCCAUACUUACAGGCCAAGGGCCGGGUUGAUGCUGAAAAGCUACUAGUGGAUGACAUCUGACAAGAUACAGAUAAUCAAGAGUAUAGUCAUGACUGUGUCUAUGCAGAACUGGUCUGUAUCCUUUUCCUUGGCUAGAUAAGUUUUAUAUACUCCCCCCAAGAAUAGCAUUCUUUUUUUAAAAACAUUUUUAAAAGUUUAUUUAUUUUGAGAGAGAGAAAGUACACACAAGCUGAGGAGGGGCAUAGAGAGAGAGGGAGAGAGAGAAUCCCAAGCAGGUUCCAUGCCGUCAGCACAGAGCCCAACGCAGGGCUCGAUCCCACAAACCAUGAGAUCGUGACCUGAGCCGAGAUCAAGAGUCAGAUGCUUACCCAACUGAGCCAUCCCGGUUCCCCCACCCCCCAGGAAUAGUAUUUUUUACAGAAGAUGCCCCAAUUCGUGUUGUUGAUAACUAACACUGAGCAGAAAGAGCCAUUUCAGAGGAAGAGUUUUCGAAACUGGAAGACUGUGUAUGCCGUGAAAAUUAAUGUUAAUAAAGUCAGAUAUGUUGCUAGAUAUUCGUAUCCAGAAAAAUGGAUUUAUCACUGAAUUAACUUAAAAAAUUUUUGCCUGGUCCAAAAAUUACUUUUAAUUCUAACCACCGAAUGAUAAAUCAUAGUUCCUAGAAUGGAUGCAUUCUUCCAACAGCUGGUUUACUCGGAUUAUUCGGGAUUUUUGCUGGAAUCCAAGUGGUCUUUCAAGAGAACCGAUGAUUUUCUGAUGAAGCUGUUCACACGCUUUUGAAGCCAGGAGAAGGGGUGAGUAUUAAUUUGCAUUCUCUUCGGCUAUAGAAUUCUCUCUCAGGCCAGCAGUGUUUGAUGAAGUCUGAAUUCCCAUUUCAGUUGUAUAGACAACAAGACUGUAUGAAGGUAUGAAAUUGUCUUGGUAAGACGAAGUAAAAUUGGGCCACCACACAAGCAAACAUGGACAUCACCUGUAUCUGGAGUCUCAAAGUCAUGAAAUACGCAGUGUUUGAAAGGAUACGAGAAAUACAUUGAUUUGAUUUGAUUUUUUUCUUUUUGGCCAUCCUUCGUGUUACAAAACAGUUGAAGCUUAGUAUCAUUUCAAGCACGGAGUGUAAAGUGAUCGGUGAGGCUGGAUGGAGGAAAGGCAAAAGAAAUGAAUUUGAAGGACAAAAAAAAACAAAAACAAAAACAAAAAACCACAUAUCCUUCGAAGACCUCCCUGUCUCGAGGACAGAAAAUGCCUUGGCAGUCGCGAUUUUUGUGCAGUCAGAAGGGAGCUGAUUUCCCAGCUGUUCUGGUGUAUUUUCCUUAUUAGUCUUUGCUCCCACGGUCUAAGAGCAAAUACCGGAUCUAAGCGCCUACAGUACUGGUCAAGGACUGCAGCUUCCCUCGUGUGUGACUCACAGGCGCGAGCAAACCACCUACUGUAACAGCUGGCCCCAGACCCUGGCCCGGCCACAGCACAGCAGCUGCUUUGCUGGACCCCUGCUUGCUUGGCUAUUAACUGUCUUAACUGUUGCUCUUACCUUUAUGGGCUGUGGUAAAGGCAGGCUUUAUUUAUUUAUGUUUGUUUGUUUUUGAGAGAGAGUGUGCGUGCGCGAACAUGUGAGGGAGGGACAGAGAGAGAGGGAGACACAGAGUCCAAAGCAGGCUCCAGACUCCGAGCUGUCAGCACAGAGCCCGACAUGGGGCUCAAAGUCACAAACCGUGAGAUCAUGACCUGAGCCAAAGUCGGACGCUUAACCAACUGAGCCACCCAGGUGCGCCAAAGGUGGGCUUUAGAUACAUAGACCCUUGGGUCCAUUUUUCCCCAAUUGUAUUUCUCGGUUCUUACUAAAAGAUCUCAGCGGUCACCUGGAAGCGUAAUUUCGAUUUAGGAUGCUAGAAGGCCGCUCAUCAUUUACAACGGCCCUUCAUGUGCUUUUCUGCAUGCGUGAUUACUUUCUUGAUGAACAAAGGUUAUGCUUAGUUUCAGGCUUGGUUAUUAUUUGUUACUAUUACGAUCAGUAUGAGGUGAACCACCUUUAUAAGAACUUGUUUCCUUUUUUUUAAUGUUUAUUUUUGAGAGAGAGACAGAGGGCAGGCGGGGAGGGGCAGAGAGAGAAGGAGACACAGAAUCCGAAAGAGGCACCACGCUCCGAGCUGUCAGCGCAGAUCCUGACGGGGGGCUGGAACUUACAAACUGUGAGAUCGUGACCUGGGCCGAAGUCGGACGCUUAACCGACUGCGCCACCCAGGUGCCCCUUAAGAACUAGUUUCUUAAAACGGGAUGGCAUCUUGCUGCGUUUCUUUGACUCUCCACCAUACCUCUCCUCUGCCCAGAGGACCAUUCUCAAGGCUUCACUAGAGAAAGGGAGAGCACAGCACCUGGCCUCAGAAAGCCCCCAAACCAGUUGUGGCUACAGAUUAACAUGUGAGAAUCAAAGAUUCCCAAAGGAAGGCAAAUCAGAUGCAGUUUCAGAGAAAGGAGAGAUUUUUUUUUGCGGGGCAGGUCAGUCUGUGCCCCAGUGCUUGUGUCUUGCAGCCUUGUGUUUUACUGGGUAUUAGUAUUGUUUCGCAAAAGUUGUUCUGGAGUCACACGCCAUGCUAUUUUCAUCUUUCGAUCUCCGUAUUCUAGUACAUUCCAGCCCCUGCACGGGACACGACACUUUACACAUAACACGUGCCAGGUAAACAUUUGCUGACAUAAUUGAAUGGGAGAAGGCUUUGUGGAAAAGGCAGAGCUUGGGCCCGGCUUUAGAUAGAGAGGGGAGGUUGGCCAGUGACAUACUCUGCCUGUAUAUGAGUCAUUCGUUCUGGGCCUUGAGGAAGAACUUGCAAAGUCAAAACAGAGCGGAGACACAUGCCAGGUUGAAAGAGUAACUACGGCAGAGCAGAGGGUUAGUGUAUGAAAUAUGGGGUCAAGGAGGAGGCCUGGCAAGACGUUCUGGAGAAUAACUGGGACGGUAGGGUAGCCAGAUACAACAUCAGGGCCCCUUGGAGGUGCUGUGGGUGGAUGGACACCAAAGUAAUAGUCUUUCUCUCCCUAUCUCAUGCUGAGGACACACUUUUCAUUUGUACCUUAGCGCAUUUAUUGUAGUCUUCAGGUGUGGGCAGGACCUGUCAACGUGAUGUCAUAUUUCCCUUCUUUACAUGCGAAUGUUUUAUUUGUUAAUCAGUUUGUUCUGGAAUUGGUUUGUUUUCAGGAAAGAGGUGGAAUGCAUUUUGAAACACCAUUUGAAAAUUGGAUUGAGAACAUUAAAGUUUCUUUUUUUCUUCUUUUCUGUUUUUCCUGGGACCCUGGAUGACUUUAUAGAGAUGCCAUGGGUGAAGAAAAGGAAUUCUUGAAAACUAGAAAGCUACCUAGCUUGGGGCAAAGCAGGAAAAAAACAGCAGGUUUGGGGACAUGAGUGUUUCUGCACUGGCAGUAUUGUGGGCCAUCGAAGAAGAGACAGAAAUUGCCAUUUGAAAUCAGGGCUCAAGUGUGAGAGAAGUCAGGGCUGGAAAGAGAUUUAACAGUGGAAGUGGUAGUUAGAAAUGGGGGACAGUGCCUGGGGAGAGCAGGUGGAAUGGAGUUCUUUUUUUUUUUAAUUUUUUUUAAGUUUUACUUUUGAGAGAGAGAAAGAGAGAGACAGAGUGUGAGUGGGGGAGGAGCAGAGAGAGGGAGACACAGAAUCCAAAGCAGACUCCAGGCUCCGAGCUGUCAGCACAGAGCCUGACGUGGGGCUCGAACUCACAAACCCCGAACCGCAAGAUCAUUACCUGAGCCAAAGUCGGACGCUUAACCGACUGAGCCACCCACGCACCCCUGGAAUGGGGUCCUUAACUGGGAUCCAGAGUGGCUCUGGUGAUUGAAGGUCAGGGCUCUAUAGCCACCGGAAGUUAUGAGCAAUAUUUUCUUUGAGUUUCCACUUGGCAUGUUGGGAUGGAGUGUGUUUGUAAGUUUGGUCAGGUUCUUAGAGGUAUCCAAAGGUUAAGAAAUCGCUGAUGUAGAAUGGGAAGAGGAGAGCAAGAAGGUCAGAACUCUGAGGGGAAAUCAACAUUUAAGGAGUUCUCAGAGAAGAGCCAUGGAAAAAGGCCAAAGAGAUUGGGAAGGCAGAAAUCUAUCUGGGAAGUCAGGCGGAUGCGGAAGGCAAUGGAAUGCGGGGGCGCAGGGCAACAAGGUUAAAUGGUAUCUUAAGGUCGGGUAGGGCUAAAAGAAUGUGUUCGAUUGACCAUUAGGAAGUCAUUGGUGACUUUCAGGAGAGCAGUGUAAAUGGAGGCACAUUGUGAUAAGUGGAGGAUGGGACUCAGGGAGCCGGGAAGUUAAGUCCAGCUUUCUCUUUCUGGAAGGUUAACAUUUGACAAGAGUGAAUAUUUACUGAGUUCCUGAGAAGGGCUGGAACUUGGCCAUUCACUGCAGACACAAAUGUGAGCAAGGUAACAUAGGCUUUGCUCUCACGGAUCUUAGGGUCUCGUGGGAGAGAUAGGCAUUAAUCAAAUAAUGACACAGAGUAAGCAUGUCAUCACAAACUGGGAAGAAAUGUGGUGCCCGGCACUGAAGCAUGACCCAAUGUGGGGUCAAAGAAGGACCCCUGAAGAAGUGAGCUUUGUGCUCAGACCUGAAGGGUGAAUAGGAGUGAGAUAGUGAAGAGAACGGGGGCAGAGAGCAGAACAUCCUAGGCAAUGAGGGAAGCAAGAAUGAAGUGUACAGAGAGCGAGGGAAGCCCAGCGACAGGAGUACAUGCUGGGUCUUUUAAACGAGCAUAAAGAUCUGCGUCUAAGAACAUUCAGGAAACUGCUAAUCUGUGGAUGGUUGCGCACGGUUUUGCAUUUCAAAACCAAAUGGGAGAGUCCAGGUGAGGAACAAUGGUACCGCCUUGAAUCAGCAUCCUGGCAAAGAAGAUGGGGAGGAGCAGAGGGUUUCAGGAAUCAUGCAGGAGCUGAAAUAGGUAGGAGAGAGAGCGCUACCUUCUCUCUUAAAGAGUGCUUUAGGAGGUCCUGCGAAAAGUAAAGUUCUCCUUCAGGUGCUGAAUACCGAAGCUCAUUUGUAGGCAAAGGGAAAGAGCAGUGGAGAGAGCGAGCUUGAAGACAUACAAACCCGGAGGGGACACACGGCUACUAGAAUCGGAAACACUGUUCUCCAAAUCGCGAAGACGGGGCUGGUGAAUAUACAGGUGUGGUUACAGGUAGAAAGGAGGCAAACUGAGACAUGAAGACGUGGUUCAUGAAGGGGGGCUCGUGUCUGCUUUGGGGUGACGCUGUGACCCCCCGCCCCCAAAUAAUAGGCUAGCAUCAGGCUCUGGAGGAUGAACAGCAAGAAACUCUAAGACAGUUCAUGGAAGGGACACAUUUACCAUUUGUGUACGUGCACAAACACUGCCUGACCCUCAGAGUACCUCUUGGAGCCCACGUUUCAGUUUUAUGAUUAAAAACAGGCAGGGAGCUUUAAAUGUGCAAAUGUCCAACAGCUGUCUCGAGCUGUGUUCAGAAAUCUCCUUUUCCCCCAAAUCCAUGAGGUGGUUUGCCCAACAUUGGGUGGUGGGUGUCGUACAAUAAGGAAAAGCACAAAUCUCAGACACUCGAGUUGUUACUCAGGAGAACCGGAUCAUUGUCUUACAGACAAGGCACCCACACAAGUCUGAAUUUCCAAUGACAUGUUAACUUGCAUUUCAUGCUAACAAUUAAGUCCUCCCAUAGGGACACCAGUGAGGUCAAUCAAUCUUUAAAACUCAACACUGAUUUUGGGGCACCUGGGUGGUUCAGUCGGUUAAGUGUUGACUUCGACUCAGGUCAUAAUCUCAUGGUUUGUGAGUUCGAGCCCCGCUUCGGGCUCUGCGCUGACAGCUCAGAGCCUGCUUGGGAUUCUCUCUCUCUCCUUCUCUCUCUCUCUGCCCCUCCCCUGCUUGUUCUCUUUCUCUAAAUAAAUAAAUAAACUUAAAAAAAAUCAACACUGAUUUUAAGUUUAGUAAGAAAGAUGCAGUGAGAAAUCAUAUGUCAGAUCUCUCAAGUCGAAUGUGUCUAUUUAAUGUCCUAGCUCAGAAAAAGAGAUCGGGUUUUUAGUUGACCUUUAAAAAAAUGAUCUGAGGGAUUCAUGUUCAUCCCUCCCCCUUUCUGAUACAGUUGUGGGAAACUUGGACUCUUUCAACACGUCAGAUCCAACUGCAGAAUCUCCGAGUGAAUCUACGUGUUUGUGAUGACUCAUGCUGCAGGGGUAUGGCUUUGUCACAAAAUGGCUUUUCUCUCUUCGAGAAAAAUGUGUAUCCUCUGAGCGUGGUAGGAACGCGCCAUGUUGAAUUAGAAAUGAGCAGUGCGGUACCGGCUGGAGGAAUAGCUCUGCUUGGCAAUCUUGAAAUAAAUGCAGCUGGGAUAAUUUUCGAUUCAACCCUUGGCAAACCUUCAGUGUGUACAAGAAAAAAAAAGCUGUGGAGGAGGCUUAAAUGCUGUAGGCGCUCAGCAGCCAUCACUCUAUCUCUCGAAGUUUCCAGUAAACGGUAGGUCAGCUCUGCAUCCUGCUGAGGUCUGGUGAGCACUCUGGGAAGAAAUGAUUCUUAUUAAGUGAGUUCAUACGUCUAAUUGCUGAGCACAGGGCCUGGCACAUUGAAGUGCUUAAUGAAUAUUAGCUUUUAUUUUUAAAAAGUAUUAUUAUUUAGGAUUAUUAACUUCCUAGGGCUCAAUGUGUACCCUGAAGGGUCACGAUUAUGGACCCAAUUUCCUCCUCUACCCGUGUGGUCUCUCAGUUCUAGACUGACAUACCCAGGUUUUAUACCCCAUGCCUUCAAAGGAGACCAUGUACUGCUGGGAAAGUGGCUUUCAGUUCCAUAGCAGCUCUGAAACUGAUUUCUGUAUUACAAGGUUUCAGGUGAUCACGGUUCACUGGUAGAAUCAGGGAAGUUCAGCAGCCGACAGAAUCUCCCCCUUCUGGGCCGAUUCCUUUCUGAGUUCCCAGGAGAGCUAGGUUUUGGAAUUUUCCCUAAAUGUCUAUCCUCCUAGGGCUGAAUCGAACCUUUGGCGUUUCCUGUUCUACACUGGGAACCGGGAGCUUUCUGAAUUAUCUCAUAGGACAUUUCCUGAUCUGUGAAUCUUUUAGAGCCUGAAGAUCAUGUUUUUCCCCUCAUCAUCUCCUGACUCUCAGUCUCCAAGGAACAUGUGCGUAUUUCAUUACAACUCCACCGUUUCCCGCGUUCGGUGAUAAAUAUGUGAGCUACAAGAGUGUACAUUCAUAACACAACACCAAAGGUUGGCAGUACAGAUUUAUGGCUCAUUACAUCAUUUUAGUGUGGGGCUGAUUCACCCAAUCAGUUUAUUUAGCAAUAAGAGAAUAUUAAAGAAGGCAACUGUACCAACCUACACCAGCCCCUGUCUCGGCUGGGUCCAUUACUUCUGCCCUCUCCUAUCAGUGGCUUGAUAAGGUCGAUCUGCGCUCGCAGAGAUAGGCCUUGUCAGGGAGGCAGAGCGGGAGCUUCCCAACAGGCCCUGACUGUACUCAGGGACUUCAAGAGGCAGAGGACGCUGUGAAUCUAAAAACAUAGCAUUCCUCUCAUAAGGAUUACAUUUUCACUUUUGAGGUUUUGAGUGUUCCUCUCUCUUUUUUAUUUUUAAUUUUUUUAAAUGUUUAUUUAUUUUUGAGAGAGAGGGAGAAAGAGUGUGAGUGGGAGAAGGGCAGAGAGAGAGAGGGAGACACAGCAUCCGAAGCAAGCUCCAGGCCCUGAGCUGUCAGCACAGAGCCUGAUUCGGGCCUCGAACCCAUGAACCGUUGAGAUCGUGACCUGAGCCUAAGUCAGACGUUAAACCAGCUGAGCCGCCAGGUGCCCCUCGAGUGUUCUUCUCUUGCUAUUGUUUACUCCAUCCUUUGUUGUUCAGAUAAGCUCAUUCUGCCUGCUACCUCCAGAAUGAGGCUCUCUUUCCUGGGACAUCCUGGUCAGCCAGUCAUUUUAUCCCACCCUGCCGGUGUCACUGGUCACAAGGCUCUUGACGUUCAAUUAGGAAUAAAUAAGUUACCACCAGAAUCAAAGUCAAGUUGAGUUUAUCAAACGUCGGGUGUUUUCGCAGGGGAGGGGAAGGAUGGUGGAAUUAGGUGGUGGGGAUGAAAAGGACACUUACCGUGAUGAGCAGUAGGUAAUGUACAGGAUUGUUGAAUCGCUAUACUGUACCCCCCAAACUGGUAUCACACUGUAUGUUAUCUGUGCUGGAAUUAAAAUUAAAAAGCUUAAUUUAAAAAAGGGAUGUUUCCAACAUUUUAUUUUUAAAAGCUUCAGCUAUACAGACAUGUUGAAAGAACUGUGCAGCGAGCACCCCUCUACCUGUCGCCCAGAGUCCACAGUUAGUAUUUUUAUUUAUUAUAUAACCAUCUAUCCACCCAUCAAUCCAUCUUAUCAUGUUAGCUUUUUGUUUUGAAGUAAUUUUAGAUUUACAGAAGAGUUGCAAGAAUAGUGCAUAGGGUUCCCAAAUACCUUUCAUCAGCUUCCCCUGAUGUUAGCAUCUUACAGAACCAUAACACAAUGAUCAAGUCAACAUUAGAAUGAUCUGACACAACACUGCCAGUAAUAUAACCUUAUUUUUAAGAACCUUUCUAACAGUGAGUUUCUAUUUUUUAUUAAAAAGAUUUUUUUUUCCAGCUGGACUUUAAAUAAAAACUUGGGAAACGAUACUGCCACACUAUUAAUGAAUCUACACAUCUUACUUGAAUUUCAUCAAAUUUCCCACUAAGGUUCUUUUCCUGGUGGAGGAUGCAAUCCAGGCUCCUGCCCUGCAUGUAGUUGUAGUAUGUUCUUUGUCUCCGGCCUAUGACAGCUCCUCUGUUUCACAUACUCGUGACCCUUUUGAUGUAUACUAGCCAUUUAUUUUUUGAAUGUCCUUCAAUUUGGGUUUGUCUGAAGUUUUCUCAUGAUUACACCAAGACUGCAUUUUUUUUACAAGAAUACCACAGAAAUGAGAUUAUGCCUUUCUCUGUUCAUCACAUGGUGGGGGGUGGGCAUCAUAUCACCCCGUAAAAUUGCUACUGAUGUAUCUUUUAUCAAUUGGUUAAGGAGUUGUCUGCCGGGCUUUUCCACUGUAAAUUUAUUAUUUUUCAGUUUGUAAAAAAUAAGUGUUUUGGAGGAGAUCCUUUGAGACCAUGCAAAUAUCUGGCUUCUCCUUAAAUCUCGCCUACUAAUUUUAGCAGGCAUUGGGGGGUUUUGCCUGGAGCAGUUGUUUCUGUGGCUCUCUAAUGGUGCUUUCCCAUGACCCCCAUUCUUUCUACAUUGAUUAGCUAGGGUUCUACCUUAAGGAAGAGGUGUCCCCUCUUCCCCAUUUAUUUAUCUGUUCAAUUAUUUAUUUAUGUCAAGACGGAGUCAGGGAUCUUUCUUUCCUUCUUUGGGUUCCAAUCCAGUAUUAUCAUAAUUUAUUUUGUUGCUCUGUCUGUUGGAUCAUUGGAAACUCCCUUCAGAUCAGCUCGUGCAUCCUUUUGACCUGCCCUGGCAUUUCCUGAGCACUUCUUUACUUUCUGGCAACACAAGAUGUUGCAGACUUAUUUUGUAUUUUCCCUAUUUUCUCUAAGGAGCUCUGGGUUCUUUUUAUGAGAGAUUGGUGUUUAGAAACCAAGAUCUGGGCAUUAAGUGUGCUUACUGCUGUGGGAGUACCAUUGUCUUCCCAGUGGAUGGAGCUAGAAAGUGUAUGUGUGUUAUUGAUAUGUAACAUCUAUAUUUCUGUAUUUAUCCAUCUGUGUGUGUGAGUAGAUAUGUGCGCAUAUAUAUUUACAUAUACAUAUUCCUCUAAAUAUUAAAUCAUGAGCUCAUGCAGAUGCCCUUGAGUCCAACUGAACACCAUGGUUUUAUUCAGGACUUCCCCUUUUCUUUUUUUUUUUUUUUUUUUUUUUUUUUUUUUUUUUUUAAUUUUUUUUUUUCCACAUUUAUUUAUUUUUGGGACAGAGAGAGACAGAGCAUGAACGGGGGAGGGGCAGAGAGAGAGGGAGACACAGAAUCGGAAACAGGCUCCAGGCUCCGAGCCAUCAGCCCGGAGCCUGACGCGGGGCUCGAACUCACGGACCGCGAGAUCGUGACCUGGCUGAAGUCGGACGCUUAACCGACUGCGCCACCCAGGCGCCCCAUGGACUUCCCCUUUUCUUAAUUGCCAGCUUCUAGCUCUGCAGGGGAAAACCUGGCUGUCUUAUCCAUAGUAUAUUUACUUAUUUGUCCAAUCCUUGUACACACAUAAAGUAGUUUCAGAGUUGCUAAUCCAUACCUCCUUGGAGGGACGAAUUUACUAAUUAGAGUCCAAUAUUAGUACAUGAUUCUUUUUGUCCUUAGCAUUAUAGUUUGUGGCCAAAAGUUGCUUAGAUUAGUUCCUUUCUUCCCCACCCUCUUCAGGGUGGUUGAGUUAUUGGUUUGUAAUAAUACAGUUAGGUUCAUUUGUUACUGCUUGUAUUCUAUUUUGGAUUCCCUCCAUAUCUUGAUUGAUUUAAAAAAUUUAUACUUUCUUGGUAUAUAUGUGGGCAAUAUGUGAAACACUGCUGUGAUUAUUUUUUUAAUAUUUUAUUAAAAUUUUAAAUGUUUAUUUAAUAUUUGAGAGUGAGCGACAGAGAGAGAGAGAUUGGCGGAGGGGCAGAGAGAGGGAGACACAGCAUCCGAAGCAGGCUCCAGGCUCUGAGCUGUCAGCACAGAGCCCGACAUGGGGCUCAAACCCACGAAUUGUGAGAUCAUGACCUGAGCCGAAGUUGGAUGCUUAACCCACUGAGCCACCUAGGUGCCCCAACACUGCCAUGAUUCUAAAGUAGGAGUAAUAAAGAAAUGUUCACCCAGAGAAGUGCUGCCCUUUCCCUAUUCUUUCCACCACAUUCUCACUCUUUGCAGGUGACUAAUCUCAUUUGUUUCUGGCUUAUCCUUCUUAUAUUUCUUUUGCACAUGUUAGCAGCUUCAUGAACACCUCUAUGUUUCCCUUUCUUUCUUCCAUGAAUCCACCUUAUUUUUGAUGCGUUUCACAGAAAGUUGCAGUUCUCAGUACAUUUUUACCCUAAACACUUUGGCAUGCCCGUUAUUAACUAGGUUUCAAUUUUGGUCUAUUUUUUUUUCACUUUUAUUUCUUUCAAGGUAAAAUUCACACGCAAUAAAACUCAAGAAUCUUAAGUGUACUGUCGAAUACGUUUUGACAAAUGCAUAUACUUGUGUAAUGCAAACCCCUAACAAAACGUAGAGCAUUCCCAUAACCUCGUAAGUUUCCUGCUCCAGCUCUGAGACAACUGGUAUUCUAAGUUUUUUCUACCAUCGUUUGGUUUGGCCUGUUCUAGGCUUCCUAAAAGCGAAUUAUACAAUGUGUACUCUUCUGCAUGAAGCUUCUUCCACUCUAGCCUGUCUUUGAAAUACAUCCAUGUUGUGUGUAUCUCUAGCUCAUUCCUUUUAUUGUGUUAGCGUUCUGCGGUGUAAACAUACCAGUGUAUGCAGGAUGAACAGUGUAGAUUUUCUGUUGAUGUGGAGUUAGCUUAUUUUCAUCUGAUGCUUCAGAUUCUUCUGGUGUUACAGUGCCGUGCUACACAUCUUUUAAAUUAUUUUAAGUAAUUCCGCUUUAUAUGUUUUGCCUUGUGCACACAUACAUGGUGCUUUCCUUUCAGAAAGCUCAGUGUUAAAACACGAUUAGAUUCUCUCUGUAGAGACAGAUAAAUGUACUUUAAGACAUUUAAUACUGAAAAAUUCAUACAACAAAAACCUAAGUCAGUGACUAUUCUAUUUGAGAGAGAGGCGUGGGGGAGGAGGGGCAGAAAGAGAGAGGGAGAGAGAGAAUCCCAAGCAGUCUCCACGCUCAACAAGGAGCCCAGUGCGCGGCUCAGUCCCAGACCCUGAGGUCAUGACCUGCGCUGAAAUAGAGUCGGAGACGCUGAACCUACUGAGCCACCCAGGUGCCCCUCAGUAACUAUUUCUUGAACAUUGAUUAUACGCAAUUACUGCGUUAGAUCUUUGGGAAUACAGGCACGAGGAAGACAGAGGGCUGUUUAUGGAUGUUUUAGGGCAUUCAAGGUACAUUCGGACGCCACCAGAGACAGGAUUUCCCGAGAAGAACCCCAAUCAUCAUCUCAGUUGUGUGCUCCAAGUCGUGUGAGCAAUGCGGUGCUCCUCCAAACAAGUAGUCCUUGUUGAGAAGCUGCGUCCUGGCUUUUGCAGCUGUCGCGUGGGCUCAGGGUGGUGGAGAGGGAUCGGCCGGAGAGGGGAAGACAGGGGAACACAACGGAGGCUAACACGAGCCCGGAGCUGUGCCGCCAAAGGGGGAUGGCAUCAGGAAGGAAGCAUUUCCGGAGCAUGUGGGGCCGGCAUUUCCGGUGCAUGCAGUACGGCCAUUUCCGGAGUAUUAGGUGCCGGCAUUUCCGGCUCACGCGGUGCCGGCUCUCACCUGUGGCGGCCGCCGCUGGCACCAAGGUGGGAGCCGGGCCCAGUGCUGACCGAGCCACCAGCCACCGCUCAGGCCUCCGAUGGCACGGCGGGGAGGAGGCAUCUGCAAAAGGCCACAGGCCCCGUCACCCCUUAGCGUGCACGAAAUGAGGCAAAAGGGUGGCUCAAUAAUUUGGCCCAGGACACACCAUGGAAGGCGCUCAGUGAAUGCUAAUUUAAUUGUCUAGGUGGGUCCAUUUAAAAUGUCUCUCUCGCUCUCUUUUUGAAAUCUUAGCAACCUGGAAGAAACUUUUUGGUAUAAAUUCAGUAACUUCUAGACUUGGAAAUGAUAAAUGCUUUUUUAUGUUUUAUUUUUUAAUAAAAACAUGAACUGGAAUGGAAUGACUUCCUUCCAAAACACUUUAAAGAAACAAAUUGUCAUGUGGAAUCUCAUUUUGCAUGAAUCAGAGUACAGUAAAUCUCAAAAUAUCCACUGAACUGCCUGUUGUGGUUUACUAAACAGGAAAAUGAUUUCAGCAGGAUGGUCUUUUCCCCUAGAUCCACAGCAGGCAGCCUUUUGUGCUGUUCUGAAAACAUCUUAAUUCUUCCCCAAGUACCAUGUUUCUUGGAAUUAUUCACCGGAAAUUAAUAGUAUUCUGAGUUUUAAAGUAAUUCAAACCACAAGUGACUUUGUAAUCAUGCUUAGCAGUAGUAUAAAGAGCCAUCGAGCAAGCAGAGGUUAUGACAGUAUUAGUCACAAUUGCACAUAGUAUCCCCCACACAAAGAUGUAUGUUUCUGUCCCGACCGUGUUCACUGGGCUGCCGAACUGGGUAGUGACAACAAACAAAUGAGUAAAAUGUGUUGGAUAAUGUCAAAUGCUACAGGGAAAAAAUUGGGCAAAGGCGGCUCUUAAACAUGCUGGGAUAGAGACAGAGAGCUGUUGAAAUUACAGAUAAGGUGGCCGGGGAAAGGCGUCACUGGGGAAACGAUAUUUGCAUAAAGACCUCAACAGUAUGUGAGUCACAUGGACAUCUGAGGAAGAACAUUCCAGGCACAGGAAGAGCAUGUGCAAAGGCCCUGAGGCAGGAGUGUGCCUGAGGAACACAAGAGCAUAGGUGGAAUGUAGUGAAUGAGGGCGAGGGCCACAUUCAUGGCCACAUCAUGAUAGGCCUCACAGUAAGGACUUUGGUUUUUACUCUGAAGGAUGGCAGAAGUGCUAGAAGGUUUUAGGGGAGAAGUGACCUGACCUGAAUUGCAUCUUAGCACCCAAAGCAGAAAGAACGGUUGAGGGGCUCUGCUGAACCCGAGACUGCAGCACAGAAGCUCUUGUGAAAAAGGGAAAGACCAUUUCCAAUGUUUACAGACAGGCCAGGUCUCUCCAGACAAGGAAGAAGAAGAACACAGAACACUUGUUCAGAUAACUGAGCAGUUGGGGAUUCAAUGUGUGAUGUUAUUUUUAGAAGAUAGCAUUUUUUUAAUACCCUGCUACUGGUUUCUUGUAUCUUUUAGAGCACACCACGAGGAGAAGAUAAGGAAGCAUGACCUUCCAAGUGCAACACCGAAUUAGGAGGCCUUGUUUCCAGUUUGGGUCCCGAUUUUGACCUUGUCACAUCCUAGGGCUGGUUACAUAAGUCUUUCCGAGCUUUAGUUUCCCCAGUGGAGAGCAUAAUUGUUAAUUACUUUAUGGAAUUAUUUUGUCAAUUACUAACAUGUUAAUAAUCUCUGAGUCUUUGAAAUGGACAUGACACAGAACCGCAGUGGUGGCCAAUUAGUGUCACUGUUAUCGGAAAUACGUGGCGUUUUAGCACUUCAAAAAGGUUCAUGUACAGGAAAAGCUGUGGGCGAUGGGGAGUGACUAGGGUGAAACUGGAAAAAGAUGAGAGGUGAGGAGAAGGACAUUUAAUUUCAGGACCUUUUGAUGUAUUCGGGCAUGCUGCUGGAAAGGGGUGGACACUUGGCAGGAUGCAGGACAGAGACAGUGCAUGGUAAGGUGAUCACCUCCUAGACCCGGGAUCUGGCCCUCACUCCAUGUAUCACCCCUCCACCUUAUUCAUACUCAGUUGUUGUCCUAUUUGGGUAAUUUGUAUUUUGGAGCAGUGUAUUCAAAAGGCUGGCAGGGUUGACCUCUAACAGACGGGCUAUGGAUACUUGUGGGUAUAUUGAGAUAUGUGAUGUUUCUUUUGCUUAUUACACACAAAUGUAUCCAACAAAACUGUGAAAUAUCAAAUAAUGUGGCAGCACUUUUGAUGAAGAACAAGGUAGAUCAUGAUGGAUCUUCCCUAAAGACACAGGAUGAUCAGUAUGACGUUGCCUGAAGUAGUGAACUAAAUAGAGGCCCUUUAUCAAUUAGGGUCAAGAAGUCUGUUGCUCUGGUCGGGCCCUUUAAAUACUUUCUUUAUUCAUUCAACAGAUAUUUUUUGACAACAUACUGCAUUGGGUGCUGCAGGGCAUAAAAGAAUGAGUAAGACACAGUGCCUAUUGCCAAUAAGCUUAUUUAAUCUAACAGGGAAAUAACUCUGAAGUCAGGCAGUUUGUGAUAUGUGUCACGAGCAGUCAUGAGGGUGCAACAAAGGUGGCAGUGAGGAGAAUCCUUCCGGCUCGGAGAUCGGGAAUGCUUUGUGGAGGACGUGAUGACUGGGGGUCGGAGGUGGGAAGGAGGGCAGUGGUGCUUUCAAGUAGAGGAAAUGAAGAAGUCAAGUGGUGGCUGGGUGAGGCCUCCCAGAGGGCGUGCGCCUGCCAGGAGCACCUCACGGGCAUAGAGGACACUAGAGGAGGACGGUAUCAUGGGCCUGAAACCCACUGGGUGUGUUACAGAAGGGGGCCUCGGUUAGACAGGAACAAGGGAGCCCUGGGAGAAAAACCUGGUGAAGCAGAUUUGGGUCAGAGUUUAUAUUUGAAAGUCAAGCUGAGAAGCUUGCAGACAGUGGAGGGGUGAUCUCUGAGCUCAGCUGUGACAUUUGCAAGGGGCAUGUUAGGGACACGAAUCUGGCAGUGACGUAUAGGAGGAGCUGAAGGGUGAAGGAAAGCAGCAACGAGGAGGCUAUCAAAACAGUGCAAGUUAGAGGAGAGGGGAGAGAAUCGAUGAGAUAUAAAAUAAUCAGAGAGAUGGGCAAGGAUGAGAUCCGAAGGGAAAAAGGCUAACACGACUUGGGGACCAUGAACCGUGACAAGGAACCCAAGCAUCGGGGAUCAUUGAAGGGAAGGAAGAGGCAAAGGUUUCUCUAAAGGGUUGAAUGUGCACGAAGCUGGAAGGAAAGUUCGGAGACGCAGUGUCAGUCUGGUGAACGAAUAUCAGCUCAAACCAGCAGAGUCAUGGAGACCAGCCUGCCGUCAGACAGGCACCUUGACCUCUUGAGGUGUCUGAUUAAUGCACACGUGGUGUUUCUCAACGCCUCAUCUGCUCAGUGCCAUCUAAUCUCCUAGAACGUGAUCAGAUGUCGGGCUCCUGCUGUUUGAAUUUCUCUCCACUGGUUGUCUGUGUCAGCAUGGUAGCGGACGUUUGUG